UUAAUCUACAGAAGAAAGAGUGCGGUUAUCAUAGUGUUGAGGUUAAGAGAUGAGGCCCGCGGUGUUAAUACCAGUGAGUGAUAGAGCAGUGAGCGCUGAGCGGUGUUUGAGCGCAGGUGUGUGUUUGGGUCGCUCGGUGGGGCUGGUGGCGGGUCGACGCCUCAGUGUUCAACUGACCAUUGUCGGGUGAAGGCUGUUGCCGCUGUCUAUCGUACUCUUAACUGUAAAUGCAAGUUUACCAUAUGUUUGACUAGUCUCUAAAUAUACUUUAUUAUAUACCGCCGUUAGAGUACAUUAAUUUACAAGAGCUUAUAUGUUGACUAGAUAAUUACAAUACUGUGUUUCUUUGAGGAACCUGAAAUUUUCAAAUAAUUACCAAGCGAAUAACCAUUUACACCUCAAUAAGCUGCGUAAAAUCCAUAGUUGUGGCUGAGGAAAGUGGUAAGAAAUACGACAUAAGGAGCGAGCUUGUCGCUCACACCAGCGGUGAAGACAAUCAUCUAUUCACCCCAGGACGACCGGCCAAUUACUCCAUUUCAGGAAUGCAGAAGAAAAAUGUUUCAUCAGUGAAGAGCAGCUGUCAGGUUUAAGCGGUAGGACUACCAUGAACUUAUCAGAAGAACUUAGGUACUGCAGCAAGUUGUGACGUGUGAUUAACUCUCAAGAUGACCUCCCGUGACCAAGAUGGGGAUGAGAACGGGGACCUCGGCUUCACCAACCCCGAGUAUGCCCCGUCCAAUGGCACCGACAGCCCGCCCACUAACCGCUACCCUAAUUUAGAUGAUUUGGACGUGCAGUCCCUACGCAGCACCUCCUGCAGGAGCGGUGACACGGCCGCCACCCUCCCCGUCAGCCCCCGGAACGCAUACAAGCUACGUGAGUACUACCAAACAAAAGGUUAUCAUGACACGGGAUGGAAGGGAAAAUGAGACAUUUUGAUUGUUGCCGCCGGAGGCGGCUAGUUUAUUGUGCACCCCAUACCCAUCCUGUGAGCGGUAGCGCAAAAAGCAUCACAGAGGGCACAAAAGGUCUUUAUCUGACCUCAUCUUAGAUUAUUACAUAAACAAUUUCAUCUAUCCUUCACACCUUAUAGUUACAAUGUCAGCUAGUUACAGAGAAAGUAGAUACGGAGAUGUUCAUAUUUCUCUUUAGAAUGGACUCUAGGCCUAUAACAAAAUAAGGUCUUUUUUUUGUUAUAGGUAAUAUUUUAUAUUUUUUAAAGAAACUUUGAGUUCGUCCGAAUACAUUUUAGUUUUUAUUUUAGAAGAAUUGCAGCAAUCUAGGGGUGUCUAUAGUUUUUAGUUGUAAAAUUGGACGUAUUUGCUAUAAUACGCAGUUUAAUCCUUUUGUUGUUGAGUCAAUGUGCACUUUUUUGUUCGCAGAACUAGAAAAUUACUUUUCCCCCUCCAAAAUAGCGCUAUAAUGUUUGUUCACCGCCAAGUCAUCUGAGAAGGCGCCGCGUUUAGCAACAAAUGGAUGUUUGUGGUCGAUAGCCACGCAAAGACUAAUUGUAAACAUCUUAAUUAUGGCCACGGCAGACACGGGCUGCCCUAGCCAUAAUUCUUUGUUCGUUCUUUCUCCCUCUCCUCCCCUCCCUAAUCCUUCCUCCCUUUCCUUCCCUCAUAAUCCUUCCUCCCUCUCCUCUCUCCCUAAUCCUUCCUUCUUUCUCCUCUCCCCCCUAAUC